rnacentral:rRNA from 1 species
AACGAACGCUGGCGGCGUGCUUAACACAUGCAAGUCGAACGUGAAAGGCUUCGGCCGAGUAAAGUGGCGCACGGGUGAGUAACGCGUGGGUAAUCUGCCCUUGGGCGGGGGAUAACCUCUCGAAAGGGGGGCUAAUACCGCAUGAGACCACGGCUUUUCGGGGCUGUGGGAAAAGGUGGGUCGCAAGGCCUGCCACCUGAGGAUGAGCCCGCGUACCAUUAGGUUGUUGGUGGGGUAAUGGCCUACCAAGCCGAAGAUGGUUAGCUGGUCUGAGAGGACGAUCAGCCACACUGGGACUGAGACACGGCCCAGACUCCUACGGGAGGCAGCAGUGGGGAAUAUUGCGCAAUGGGGAAACCCUGACGCAGCAACGCCGCGUGUGUGAAGAAGGCCUCGGUUGUAAGACGACUUCUAGUGGGAGGGAAAGGACGUAGGU